GACGAACGCUGGCGGCGUGCUUAACACAUGCAAGUCGAACGGUGACGCGCCUUCCUUUUUGGCUGGUGUGGAUGGGGGGCGAACGGGUGAGUAACACGUGAGUAACCUGCCCCCUUCUUCUGGAUAACCGCAUGACAGUGUGGCUAAUACGGGAUAUUCUGGGUCUGUCGCAUGAUGGGUCUGGGGAAGAUAUUGUUUCGGUGGGGGAUGGGGUCGCGGCCUAUCAGCUUGUUGGUGGGGUGAUGGCCUACCAAGGCGGUGACGGGUAGCCGGCCUGAGAGGGUGGGCGGCACCAGAGCUGCGACGCCGCCGACCAUACUACGAGAGGCGGCAGUAGGGGGUAUUACAGAAUAAGGGGAGGACUGAUGAAGCAGCGCCGCGUGGUGGGAGAAGGAGGUCGUGGUGUUGUGAACUUCUUGCGCGGGGGAAGGAAGUCUGGUUAGUUUGUUGGUGGGUUGACGGUAGCUGGAGAAGAAGCGCCGGCUAACUACGUG
rnacentral:rRNA from 1 species